CUUCACCGACCCCAGCAGCAGCGGCCGUUCCCGGUCCUGACCAUAGGCCGCCAGGAUCGCCUGCGCCUC
rfam:Streptomyces griseoruber strain DSM 40281 genomic scaffold PRJNA299232_s036, whole genome shotgun sequence.